AAACCUGCAGCUUAACUGUAGAAUUGCCGUUGAUACUGCUGCUCUUGAGUAUGGUCAAGGUAGGCCGAAUGUGUAAUGUAGCGGUGAAAUGCUUAGAUAUUACACAGAACACCGAUUGCGAAGGCAGCUUGCUGGGCCAUUACUGACGCUCAUGCACGAAAGCGUGGGAUCGAACAGGAUUAGAUACCCUGGUAGUCCACGCCGUAAACGAUGAUCACUCGCUGUUGGCGAUACACUGUCAGCGGCUAAGCAAAAGCAUUAAGUGAUCCACCUGGGGAGUACGACCGCAAGGUUGAAACUCAAAGGAAUUGACGGGGGCCCGCACAAGCGGAGGAACAUGUGGUUUAAUUCGAUGAUACGCGAGGAACCUUACCUGGGCUUAAAUGUAGAGUGCAUUGGUGUGAAAGCAUCAUUUUCUUCGGAACUCUCUGCAAGGUGCUGCAUGGUUGUCGUCAGCUCGUGCCGUGAGGUGUCGGAUUAAGUUCCAUAACGAGCGCAACCCUUAUCGUUAGUUGCCAGCGGGUAAUGCCGGGAACUCUAACGAAACUGCCGGUGUAAACCGAGAGGAAGGUGGGGAUGACGUCAAAUCAGCACGGCCCUUAUGUCCAGGGCUACACACGUGUCACAAUGGCCGGUACAGAGGGCAGCUACCUGUUGACAGGAUGCGAAUCUCCAAAGCCGGUCUCAGUUCGGAUCGGAGUCUGCAACUCGACUCCGUGAAGCUGGAUUCGCUAGUAAUCGCGCAUCAGCCAUGGCGCGGUGAAUACGUUCCCGGGCCUUGCACACACCGCCCGUAAGGGC
rnacentral:rRNA from 1 species